GUAGGUGGCAAGCGUUGUCCGGAAUUAUUGGGCGUAAAGCGCGCGCAGGCGGUUCUUUAAGUCUGAUGUGAAAGCCCACGGCUCAACCGUGGGAGGGGUCAUUGGAAACUGGAGAACUUGAGUACAGAAGAGGAAAGCGGAAUUCCACGUGUAGCGGUGAAAUGCGUAGAGAUGUGGAGGAACACCAGUGGCGAAGGCGGCUUUUCUGGUCUGUAACUGACGCUGAGGCGCGAAAGCGUGGGGAGCAAACAGGGAUUAGAUACCCUGGUAGUCCACGCCGUAAACGAUGAGUGCUAAUGUUAGGGGGUUUCCGCCCCCUUAGUGCUGCAGCUAACGCAUUAAGCACUCGCCUGGGGAUACGGCGCAAGGCUG
rnacentral:rRNA from 1 species